UUAAAAUCGGCUUUGUAAACAAAAAUAGUCUGAGCGAUUUAUUAAAUUGUAAAACAUUACAUUGUAUUUAUUGGUCAAACUACAGCACGAUGGAAGACUUUUGUUCAUAACACCAAUGGAUCCCCUAUUUCUUGGUCUGCCUUAUUUCUUGAAAGCUGGAAAAGAGUUAAGUUUUCCAGAGCUCUAGUCCAGGGGUGGCAUGUGCCAUGAUGAUUUUAAGGCUUUAUAAUGCAAGGAAUACAGUGGAUUCAGAUUACUUGUGUGCAGCAGCAUGGGUGAUCAUAACACCACCCUAUUAUGAACAGCCCUGAAAAAGAAGGUGGCACAUCACAAGUUUCUGCAGGGCAGGUUCCAGCCAGUGGAUCAGGUAGUGGUGGAUGAGGACUUUCGUGUUGCAGCAGAUUUCUCAAGUGUCCCCAAACCCUUCAGGCACUCCGUCAUAUCACAGAGGAGAAGGAAAUCGGAGGUCAGAAGUUUAACAGAUACAGCAAAGAAUAGACUCUGGAAUUGUUAAAGAAAAAGGUGUUUGUUUCCUCUCAGCUCUGCUCUCUGUGCUUACCAUGGCUGUCGUCUUGUGUCUCCUCGUUCUCUUGAUGCAGCUGGGAGGGGUCCCCUGCUGCCCGGCCCAUUAUGUCAUCUUCAGUGGCUUUUAAGUUCUGGACGAGAAACAAUCCUCAUGCCCAGGGAAAAGUUUGCCACACAUUCAGCGUGAGUUUCUGCUGGAAUUGGGACUCCACCAACCACCAUGUAGGCAUCUCCAAUGGUUUCCACCUAGGGAUGUACAGCAAAGCUGCACUUC